AGCGGCUUAGGAUAGUGCAAUUGACCGGGGGCCUUCAAAGCCCCAGGCGGGGGUGGAACCCCCCCAGCCCCUA
rnacentral:tRNA from 1 species